GCUCCCCUCGCCGUGGAGAAGGUCUGGGGCAUGGGCCCAGAAGGCGCUCUCGCAGCGGGCACGUCGAUGGAUCGCCGAGGCAGCAGCGAGCCGCUGUGUCGCCGAGGCGGAAAC
rnacentral:ribozyme from 1 species